rnacentral:lncRNA from 1 species
CAAUAUUAAAAAAAAUGCAUUUUUUUUCAACAACAAUACAACUAAGUGUGCUUACAUCUCCACUAAUACACCGUUAACCUUAAAGAGAUACUAGAUACAUUUAAAUAAGCCACAACUAGUUGUGCCAGACUUAUAUGAGCUUAAAUGAGUAAAAACAUUACUCUAACAAGGAACACCAUAGCAUCAAACCCACAAAUUCACACCACAUGAUGUGAAAAUUAUGUUGACACACAAAUUAACCCUCUUUUUAUCGAUUGUAGUAAGUAUGUAAGUAGGGAUCGUUCUAGGCCGGGGAUUAGGAGGGAUUGCUAAAUCACUUGAAAACUGACUCAAAUACGUAAAAACAAGUUUAAAACACUAAACUAGACUCAAAGAAUGCAAAACUAAACUUUAAAACACCAAAACAAACAAAAAGACUCAAAACAGCAAACAAACACUCAAAACUGCCUUAAAACACUUUCUGGGUAGUUUCUGACACUCAGGAAGAAUUUGGACGAAAAUUGAUUAUAACUUGACUCAAGACACUUAAAAACACAAACUAAAUUGAUUUCUAACUAGUAUGACUCAACAAAGAAAAGGGGGAUUGAUUUUGGACGAAUUUAAAAACAAAACAAAACUUUGUAAACUAAAACAGAUUUUAAAACGAAUUUGGAUGAUUUUUGAAUGGAUGGAAGGCUAGCUAAGGGGUUCAUCUCCACACAUGUCACACUUGCAUAUAAAACGAUUUCCAAUUGCUUUUCAAUAAACCAUGAAUUCUCAACGCCCCAAGUUAAUUAGGUCCGCUUAAAUUAACCCUCAGAUUUUCCUUAAGUUAUUGAAUUGGAUGAAUUGCAUACGACAACCCAAAGCAUUCCCCACAAGUCCCCUACAUGACUGCAUAAUAGAGAUACAAGCAAGAAUCAUUAAGUUCUAUGAAAACCAUAAGCAUUGACGAAGCACUUGUUACUAUGAUUGCAUGAAACUUAUGCCAAGAAUUUACUUAACACGAUUGUGAUCAACAACCUUUACUACUUGUGAAUAUAAGUUCAUAACGAUUAGGUGAAAUUCCCUUAUAUCCUAGCAUCAAAUUCAUGCAUGCAAACUAAGUGUCGACCCUCAAUCAACAUACAAGAAUAAGUUUUAAUUCACAUAGAUAAGCAAAUUGAACUCACAACUUAUGAAACGCAAUUAGAAGUAAUCAAAUCAUAUAACAAGCAUAAACAUGGUUUCAAAUCCCCCCCUAGCCAAGGGGGGUUUAGUUCCUCAUACUCGCAAAUAAACAAAGAUAAAUAAAUUUAAACAUUAAAACAAAGAUAGAAAACACCUAGAAACGCUCCACAAUCCAAGCUCCUUGAAUGGCAUGCACGGCUCCAAGUUGUCUUCCUUCUUCUCCUUGCAAACUCACGGCACACAAGGUAUGUUUGGGUGAAUGGUGUAGUGAAAAUAUGGUAGAGGAUGGUGACUAAAUGGUGCAGCAAAGGGUGGUAUUUAUAGGCUGAAAUUCGCAGCCCCUAUGUAGCAAAGGAAAAGGAUUUAAAAGCCUAAUUUGUAUAGGAUAAUAACACACAAUCCUUGAAGGAAAAGGCUAAGGCUUUUAGAAACCAAAGGGGAAAGGAAUAAUCAGGUUUCUAGGAGUCCUAGAAAGGUUUGGGGCGUCACUUUUGUAGGAGAAGGGAUAAGGCCUUCUAGAAAGGUUAUUUUGUGGCUGAUUUCUAGAAAAACAAGGGAUAAGGUGUGGCACCUUUGUAGGAAAGGAUUAGGUCUUCUAGAAAUCCCAUUUUAAGCAUCCUAAUCUAGUUAGAAACCCUCCUAAGUGGCUGGAAUGUGGAUAAUUUAGGAUUAGGAUAAGAUAAGAUAGGAUAAGGUUUGUUUGGAUAAGAUAAGCUAAGAUAAGGUUAUGGAUGAGGUUUUGGAUAAGAUCCUUCUCUUGAGUUGAUUCUUUGGCUUUAAUUCUUCUUCUUCAUGUAGGAAUACUUGCUUGAGUAGGAAACUUCAUUCGUCUAGGAAUCCAUCUUCAAUUAGGACUCCUACAUUGAUUAGGAAUCCUUCUUCAUUUAGGAAUCCUUCGUUUAAGCCCUUUCCUACUUCAACUAGGAAACUUUGUAUAUUCAAUUCUUCAACUUUGAAACACCUUCCUAGCUUCAUCAAUUCCUCAAAUUCGUCCAUCCCUUGUGCUUCAUGUGCAUGAACUCCAUUCUAGCCCAAUUUUGCUCCAAAAUGCUCCAAAUUGCAUCCUUUUGCUCACUUUGUCUCUAAAACCUGAAAACACAUGAAAAUAGCUUAAAAGACUAAUUUAACCAAGAAAACACAACAUAAAUGCAUAAGAACUAACUAACUAAGGCGCAUAAAUAUGCUCCUAUCAAAUUCCCCCACACUUAGCUUUUGCUAGUCCUCGAGCAAAACAAAACGAGUAAACACAACCUAAACCUUCCAACAAUCGCCUCAGGGAUUUCCAAUGCACAUGACAUGUUAAAAAUCAUCAUUCCCACAGAUUUUAGCCAUCUUUACGCUUAAGCACAUACUUAAUCAUAGUCACUACUUAUUAGUUCACAAAUAACCAAUUAAAACGAUGUUUUGAAUGUAGUAACAUGCCUUAGAGAAUUUGCUCAAUUCCUUACUAGAUAUGCACUCAAUUUUCACACAGAAUUUCUGACUACACACCCUAUACUGGUUAUAUGUGAGAAGAUUGAUGUAAAUAUGAAAACGAAUGCUCACAUAUAUGUAUGACAAAGGAAGCACUUUCCGGAGUUAACAACAUGUUUAAAUAUGAUCUCAUGAAUGGAAUGCUACUACUUAGAUGCGAGAUCCAGGGAUAUCAUAUGCUCAUACCAAUUCCAAACUCCACAUAUUGAAACACAUAACAAUCAAGAUGGAAGCAAAGGGUUGUAACGGGGCUAAGGUAUUGGCUAACAAAGAAAGGUAAGGAUAAACAAACAUUCUUAAAGAAUAAUAAGCAAAGUAAUGAAAUUGAUACUUAGAAAUCACUUUUGCAUGCAAAAAAAAAAACGAUUUUGAAACACAAGGGGAAGACUCAUGCAACACUUAGGGCCAAAUUCAAGCUUUUUGGACCCUUUCUUCAACAACCAACCCACUUAGAGCUUAUUUUCUCAUCUUUUUCAACUCUUUCUCAUACUUUUCACAUUGUUUUCUUCAUUUUUUCUUUUUCUACGAAUUUGUCUCUUUUCUUUUUCUAACCCGUGCCCUUCUACUUCUUUUGGCACACAAAAUUUUCCUUCCCCCACACUUAGUUUUCUGCACAAUGUUGAUCAAAAGGAAUUCCCUCUAAGUCAUGCUUUAUUAUCCUUUAAGAACACGGGUAUGGAUAGUCCUAAUCUAGGCUAGGUAAGGAUAAUGUGGCUAACAACAAAAUAGGCUAAAUAAGGUUCAAAGGGGCUAAUCCUACAAAAACAAAUGCAUGGGUUGAAGGCUUUUUGGCUCUGGUGAUAACUACUAAGCAACUUCAUCUUGUUAGUUAUGCUAAUCAAUUUUUAUGCUUUGAAUGAAAUAGGUAUGAGUUCUAAUAUUUGGAUCUAUAAUGAUGACACGCCUUCUAAGUAGCAACCAAGCAAAGAAUGAUGAGAUCAUGCAACGACUUUAGAAAACAACAAAUUCACAGAUUAUUAACUCUCCAAAUAAACGUUUAGGCUCAAGUCUCACAGGGUUGUAGCGUUUGUUUGAGUUCCUUCCUUCAAGCAUGUUACAAAAACUGAUUUUUUUCUUUAUGAUUACAUGUGAAGUCAUAAGUUAUAACCACAACCAAGCAUAAACCAAAGAGUAAAUCAAACUUUCAUCCAUGUUUAUAACUCUCUUUAACAAUCAUGCAAUUACAAACCGAAUCCUCAUCAUUGUGUUGGAAGGUACCCUAAGACACAAACAAACACACAAAAACAACUUUAAACCGACUCUUUUUGGGUUUUUUCAAAACUUUUUCUAGUUUUUUGUCUAAAAACACUUAAAAACAAUGAAAAACAACCUUUGAAAUGUUAGGUGGUAAAAUCCUACGAAUUUGACACAAAAACACUUUGUUUACCCUCCCACACUUAAACCAAACAUUGUCCUCAAUGUUUCAAACAUAGACUCACACAAGAACAAGCAAAUAUCACAACUAGCAAACAUGACAAAUAUGGCAAAGUAAAAGCAAUAAAGAGUAGGGUUUAGAAACGCAAAUCUGAUUAUGACGCCGGAGCUUCCUAGGUCCUCUUUAUUUGCAUGGGUUGCCUCCCAAGAAGCGCUUGCUUUAACGUCUUCCAGCCGGACGAUGCUCCAUUGAAGGUUUAUGGAACCCCACAGCAUGGAGGGGUGUUUCCACAACCUGACCUACGAAAUACUUCAUUCUUUGGGUCCUUGAAUGGGAUGGGAUAAUGAUCCUUUCUAUUUGUCAUGUUUUGCUUCUCUAAAUCAACACGAACUCUCCCACUACGUUGUCUUCGAUUUGGUACCUGCACCAUACAAGGUAACAACCUAUUAGUUGAAAUGGGAAUCGAAAAUUGAAUAGGUGGCUUACCUUUGUACGGCAAAGAAGUGGUAGCACUAUGGACAAAUGCACAAGGGUUGCACUUGGGCAGAUUUGAUGAUUUCAAGGUUGGGGCCGUGCACUCUUUGUUGUUCACUCCGAUUCCUUCCUCGAUGGUGGGUUGUGGUACAUUCUUGUUGACUAGUGUUGAACAUUCCUGCCCUAUAUUAUCAAUUACAUUAAUAGCACAACAAGAACGAACAUCAUUAGUAUUCUCAACCGAUUCAGAAACCUUAAAGUUAAUCAUAUCACCACCAAAGGCCAUAGUUACUGCUCCCUUGGCCACGUCAAUCUUGGUUUGAGCUGUUUUCAUGAAAGGACGUCCAAGUAAGAGUGGUGAUGAUGGAGAUUGUACCGAAUCUUCCAUGUCAAGCACAUAAAAAUCUGCAGGAAAAAUCAAAUGGUCUACCUGCACUAAAACAUCCUCCAAAACUCCUUUCGGAUAUGCAUUAGAUCGAUCGGCUAAUUGAAUAAUAACACCAUCAUGUUUAAGCUCCCCUAGAUUCAUCGAUGCAUAAACAGAAUAUGGCAUGACAUUGAUUGAUGCACCUAAAUCUAGCAUAGCAUGAUCAAACCUCGCAUUGCCAAUAACACAAGGGAUAGUGAAACUACCUGGAUCUUUGCAUUUAGGUGGUAACUUUCUUUGCAACAAUGCAGAUACAUUCUCACUUACGUGUACCACCUCUUUCUCCCGAAUCCGAUUCCUUGUUGUGCAAAGCUUCUUCAAGAACUUAGCAUAUUUCGGGAUUUGCUUUAUUGCAUCGAGGAGUGGGAUGUUGACAUGCACCUUCCUAAACGUCUCCAGAAUGUCUUUUUCCUCCUCGUCGUUCUGGCUUGCAUCAACCUGCUAGGAAAGGGCACGUUUAGUGGAAUAGAACUUGAUUGGGUCGAAUUAUGACUUACCUUAGGUGUAGGACACGGCAAAGGUGCAAUAGGAGGCUGCGGCAUUGUUUUCUCCUUCCUUGCCGUGGUUGAGGUUUGGGGUUCUUCCUCAAACAGUAGCUUUUCAUCCUCUUUUUGACUUGAAUUGGAUGCUUGGGGUUCGGUUCCAACUUGUUUGCCACUCCUUAAUGUAAUUGCUUUGGCGGUUUCGAAUCCCCCUUUUGGAUUUGCAACGGUUGAACUAGGGAGUCUUCCUUGGUCUCGAAACUGUCCUACAAACUCCGCAAUUUGCCCAAUUUGUUUUUCCAAGUGAUCCACCCUUUUAGCUUGGCUUUGCAAUGCUGCGGCUUGAUUCUCUUGCCCCUGAGACAAAGUGUUAAGUAAUUUAAGAAUUGCAUCAUUAUCCAAGGACGUACCUGAAUUUGUUGGGGCAGAAUGUAUUUGAGUUUGAUUUGGUGCGAAUGGCUUUUGAUAGAAACCCGGGGGUUGUUGCCGAAAUGUGUUUUGUUGUUGGCCUUGUUGGGGUUCCCGCCAUUUGAAAUUCGGAUGAUCACGCCAACCGGGAUUGUAGUUGUUAGAAAAGGGAUCAUUCCUUUGUUGGUAUUGCUGCCCAAAGCCCACGGCAUUGAGGGUCUCCCACCCUCCGUUCUCGAUCAAUUGUGGGCAUGUGUCCGUAGGGUGUCCUUGCAUGGAACAUACGCCACACGCACUUACAUUUUGAACUUUUGGCCCUUCCACAACCUGAGAAAGCAAAGUAGUAAGGUUAGCCAUUUGGUUUUGAAGUUCGGUUAUGGCACUUACCUCGUUCACUUGGUGUUGCCGUGGGGUGCCUCUUUGGCCAACACCUUCGUAUUGUUGAGCGUUCAACGCUCGAUUAGCAAUCAAAGUCUUUGCUGCCGUGGGAGUCUUGUCCACCAAAGCUCCUCCCGCCGAGGCAUCUAGCAUUUGUCUUUCGAUUGGUAGAAGUCCCUCGUAGAAGUAUUGUAGAAGAAGCUCCUCCUUCAUUUGAUGCUGUGGACAAGAAGCAACAAGAGAUUUAAAACGUUCAUAAUAUGUAGGAAAAGACUCACCUUCUUCUUGUUGAAUUCCACUUAUCCUUUUUCGUAGGAGGAUGACUCGAGAAGUUGGGAAAAACUUCUCCAAGAAAGCUCGUUUCAUGCUCUCCCAAGAUGUGACCGUUCCGGGAGCUAAUUCGUACAACCAAUCUUUCGCCUUUUCCAUGAGAGAAAAGGGAAAGGCCUUCAUCUUCAAUAUACUCCCGUCGACAUUGAUUGGAGUCAUGCUUGAACACACCACCUCGAACUCUUUCAAGUGCUUGUUAGGAUCCUCCAUGGACAACCCAUGGUACUUCGGAAUAUGGUGUAGCAAACUUGACUUUAACUCGAAUUCCUCGGUCUUUCCUUGGGCAGCCGCCGGAUAUUGAAUACAUAGAGGUGCGGCAUUGUCUAAUCCCGAAGCCGAGAGCUCCUUGAUUGUACGAUUGUCUUGUGCCAUGACUGUCUCAACUUCACCCACUUGUGCCGUGGGUUCCUCUUCCUCAAUCUCAACUUCGGCUUCCGAAUUUGAACUUGAUUCACUAGGUUCUGGAUUCUUCCUCUUUCGUCUCAACUCUCGUUCAAAAUCGUCGUCAAAGUCCAAGAUGUGUUCAUGAACCGGAUGAGAGCUCCGAGUCAUAAACUAGUACCUAAAAACAAUAAACAAAAACAAAGUAAGAAUCUGGACACAAAUAAAACAAAUUGAAAUAAAACAAUCCAAGGGAUUAGCAACUUUGCUAAUCCCCGGCAACGGCGCCAAAAUUUGAUGUGAAAAUUAUGUUGACACACAAAUUAACCCUCUUUUUAUCGAUUGUAGUAAGUAUGUAAGUAGGGAUCGUUCUAGGCCGGGGAUUAGGAGGGAUUGCUAAAUCACUUGAAAACUGACUCAAAUACGUAAAAACAAGUUUAAAACACUAAACUAGACUCAAAGAAUGCAAAACUAAACUUUAAAACACCAAAACAAACAAAAAGACUCAAAACAGCAAACAAACACUCAAAACUGCCUUAAAACACUUUCUGGGUAGUUUCUGACACUCAGGAAGAAUUUGGACGAAAAUUGAUUAUAACUUGACUCAAGACACUUAAAAACACAAACUAAAUUGAUUUCUAACUAGUAUGACUCAACAAAGAAAAGGGGGAUUGAUUUUGGACGAAUUUAAAAACAAAACAAAACUUUGUAAACUAAAACAGAUUUUAAAACGAAUUUGGAUGAUUUGAAUGGAUGGAAGGCUAGCUAAGGGGUUCAUCUCCACACAUGUCACACUUGCAUAUAAAACGAUUUCCAAUUGCUUUUCAAUAAACCAUGAAUUCUCAACGCCCCAAGUUAAUUAGGUCCGCUUAAAUUAACCCUCAGAUUUUCCUUAAGUUAUUGAAUUGGAUGAAUUGCAUACGACAACCCAAAGCAUUCCCCACAAGUCCCCUACAUGACUGCAUAAUAGAGAUACAAGCAAGAAUCAUUAAGUUCUAUGAAAACCAUAAGCAUUGACGAAGCACUUGUUACUAUGAUUGCAUGAAACUUAUGCCAAGAAUUUACUUAACACGAUUGUGAUCAACAACCUUUACUACUUGUGAAUAUAAGUUCAUAACGAUUAGGUGAAAUUCCCUUAUAUCCUAGCAUCAAAUUCAUGCAUGCAAACUAAGUGUCGACCCUCAAUCAACAUACAAGAAUAAGUUUUAAUUCACAUAGAUAAGCAAAUUGAACUCACAACUUAUGAAACGCAAUUAGAAGUAAUCAAAUCAUAUAUAACAAGCAUUAAACAUGGUUUCAAAUCCCCCCCUAGCCAAGGGGGGUUUAGUUCCUCAUACUCGCAAAUAAACAAAGAUAAAUAAAUUUAAACAUUAAAACAAAGAUAGAAAACACCUAGAAACGCUCCACAAUCCAAGCUCCUUGAAUGGCAUGCACGGCUCCAAGUUGUCUUCCUUCUUCUCCUUGCAAACUCACGGCACACAAGGUAUGUUUGGGUGAAUGGUGUAGUGAAAAUAUGGUAGAGGAUGGUGACUAAAUGGUGCAGCAAAGGGUGGUAUUUAUAGGCUGAAAUUCGCAGCCCCUAUGUAGCAAAGGAAAAGGAUUUAAAAGCCUAAUUUGUAUAGGAUAAUAACACACAAUCCUUGAAGGAAAAGGCUAAGGCUUUUAGAAACCAAGGGGGAAAGGAAUAAUCAGGUUUCUAGGAGUCCUAGAAAGGUUUGGGGCGUCACUUUUGUAGGAGAAGGGAUAAGGCCUUCUAGAAAGGUUAUUUUGUGGCUGAUUUCUAGAAAAACAAGGGAUAAGGUGUGGCACCUUUGUAGGAAAGGAUUAGGUCUUCUAGAAAUCCCAUUUUAAGCAUCCUAAUCUAGUUAGAAACCCUCCUAAGUGGCUGGAAUGUGGAUAAUUUAGGAUUAGGAUAAGAUAAGAUAGGAUAAGGUUUGUUUGGAUAAGAUAAGCUAAGAUAAGGUUAUGGAUGAGGUUUUGGAUAAGAUCCUUCUCUUGAGUUGAUUCUUUGGCUUUAAUUCUUCUUCUUCAUGUAGGAAUACUUGCUUGAGUAGGAAACUUCAUUCGUCUAGGAAUCCAUCUUCAAUUAGGACUCCUACAUUGAUUAGGAAUCCUUCUUCAUUUAGGAAUCCUUCGUUUAAGCCCUUUCCUACUUCAACUAGGAAACUUUGUAUAUUCAAUUCUUCAACUUUGAAACACCUUCCUAGCUUCAUCAAUUCCUCAAAUUCGUCCAUCCCUUGUGCUUCAUGUGCAUGAACUCCAUUCUAGCCCAAUUUUGCUCCAAAAUGCUCCAAAUUGCAUCCUUUUGCUCACUUUGUCUCUAAAACCUGAAAACACAUGAAAAUAGCUUAAAAGACUAAUUUAACCAAGAAAACACAACAUAAAUGCAUAAGAACUAACUAACUAAGGCGCAUAAAUAUGCUCCUAUCACCACACCCCAUAUGGGGCCCAAAACCCACAAACCCAAACCAUGCCCAUUGAUAGGAGCAUAUUUAUGCGCCUUAGUUAGUUAGUUCUUAUGCAUUUAUGUCGUGUUUUCUUAGUUAAGUUAGUCUUUUAAGCUAUUUUCAUGUGUUUUCAGGUUCUAAGGACAAAGUAAGCAAAAAGAUGCAAUUUGGAGCAUUUUGGAGCAAAAUUGAGCUAG